rnacentral:tmRNA from 1 species
GGGACUGUCAGGUUUCUACAUGUUAAUAUUUUUUCUGAAGGCUAAUAUCAGGUUGAUUAUAAAUAUCGCCUGAAAUUAAAAAAUAAAUGCAAAAAACCAAAUUAUUCCUUUAUCUCGAGGUCUAGUUACUGCUUAAAUUGAGAUAUUUCUCCAGUUAAGCUUUAGAGACUUUGAGUAUCAGCUAAGAUAAUGACACUGAGUAGCUGAUAAUUUAUUUAUGUGUUGCUCCUAACCUAGCUAAAAGUUGAAAUCUUUUCAAGGUUUAGGUAAAGUUAAAUAUAUAUUUUUCUGUAUCUAAUUAUUAGAUACCUUCUAAAAUAUUUUUAUUAACAUGGACGUGGGUUCGAAUCCCACCAGUUCCA